rnacentral:rRNA from 1 species
UUGACGGGGCCGCACAAGCGGUGGAGCAUGUGGUUAAUUCGAAGCAACGCGAAGAACCUUACCAGGUCUUGACAUCCCCUGACAACCCAAGAGAUUUCGGGGCGGUUCCCCCGUUCGGGGGGACAGGGUGACAGGUGGUGCAUGGUUGUCGUCAGCUCGUGUCGUGAGAUGUUGGGUUAAGUCCCGCAACGAGCGCAACCCUCGCCUCUAGUUGCCAGCAUUCGGUUGGGCACUCUAGAGGGACUGCCGGCGACAAGUCGGAGGAAGGUGGGAUGACGUCAAAUCAUCAUGCCCCUUAUGACCUGGGCUACACACGUGCUACAAUGGGCGGUACAAAGGGCUGCGACAUUGCGAGAUGGAGCGAAUCCCGAAAAGCCGGUCUCAGUCCGGAUUGGAGUCUGCAACUCGACUCCAUGAAGUUGGAAUCGCUAGUAAUCGUGGAUCAGCAUGCCACGGUGAAUACGUUCCCGGGCCUU